rnacentral:rRNA from 1 species
GAUGAACGCUAGCUACAUGCUUAACACAUGCAAGUCGAGGGGAAACGAUGAGCUAUCUUGCUCUCUUCGUGUUCGACCGGCGCACGUGUGAGUAACGCAUAUCCCACCUGCCUCUGACCAAGGGAUAACCCGUCGAAAGUCGUACUAAUACCUUAUUCCUUCGUCGGAAGUCAUCUUAUGACGACUAAAGAUUUCAUCGGUGAGAGGUGGGGAUGCGUCUGAUUAGCUUGUUGGCGGGUUACCAGCCCACCAAGGCGACGAUCAGUAGGGGUUCUGAGAGGAAGGGCCCUGAAAUGGGAACUGAGACAAGGUCGAAACUCAUACGGGAGGGAGCAGUGAGGAAUAUAGGACAAUGGGAGUAAGCCUGAACGAGCGAAGUAGGGUGCAGGAAGACGGCGCGAGGGGUUGUAAACUGCUUGUAUGAGGGGAUAAAGGGAGGGAAGUGACCGUGAGUGAAGGUACCGGAUGAAGAAGGACCGGCUAAUUACGUG